AGUCCUGUACAGUGUAAGAUACCUUGUACUUUUCAAUCUCUGUAUAUUUUGUGCAUCUUCUACUGUUCAUCAGACACUAGUUGUAAACAAAAUACUCACUCUGAUGAACGUUUUGUUAAAAACAUGUAAGUACAGUGAUGACUUAGUGGGGCUAUUGUAGCUUUAGGCUUUCCAGAAGUCUAUGAUGUUGUCAGGAUGGCAGAAUUUUUUCUGUGGCAAACUCAUCUGUUAGAGCAUUGCAGCUGCACUGCCUCAUGAUGCAAAGCAAGGUGGAUGUUCUAAUAAUUAGCAGAGUCUCCGAGUUCUGUGGAAAUCAGAGGAUUUUUGUGGUGUAGUUUAACAAAGUUGUGCAGGAGUCAGUGGAGGCAGCCAAUGGUCUGAAAUUAUAGUAGUUGCGCAGGUAUUUUGUCAGACUCUUGCUGCUUUCAUUAUACAAAGUCAAUGAAGUUAAAAUUUCAGCUUUUGAUACCACUUAAGUAGUAAGUUCUACUGAUACUUUUGGAAUUACUAAUGGUGGCAGACUUUGUUCAGACAUAUCUUCCAACAAAUGAUAGCUAUGGUGAGGUAUGGUGAGGUUCUUCAUGUCAAACUUCUGUCAAACAAAACUGGUUUUGCACCAUAACGCCAUAACAAUUUGCUAGUCAAAAAGAGAUCCUCAGUGCAACUAUUACAAUUUCAUUUCUUGUUUAAAUAACUAAAUUAAUAGCAGUAUUUUCUUAUAAUGAAAGCAUCUUAGCUUACUUAAUUCUAGUUAUUUAAAUCUGAGCUAAUCAUCUAUGUUGCUUUUUAUAGGCAAUGGAAAGGAAUAAAUCUUUCUAGAGCACAAUCCAGUGACCUACUUUAAAUGUCUGUCUUAGGAGGAGAGAUGUUCUGUGUGUUAGAAAUGUCUUUUAAGGGAGACCAGGUCAUCACCAACACCCAGCGGACUGGCUGGUGAAUCAACGGACUGACAAGAUCUGUUCUAUUAGAAAGCUCUGGAUUCAUCAUGUUGCUGUCAAUCUUUUAAGCAAAGUUUCAGCAUCUGUGUCUGUCUAUCUUCAAAUCUUAGCUCUCAAAGAUUUGCAACUACUUGGACAGUAUUUAUUCAGCUACUAUCUUUGGGAGUUGUAUAUGUUUUUAACAAUUUCACUGCCGGUAAUAAACAGCGAUCUUCUGUUGACUGGACAAGGACUGCACAAGGACUUACAGAUCUAGAUAGUUUGGACAAUCAGCGAUGGUAUGAUGUUCAACAAAAGUAAAUGUUGGGUGCUGCAACUCAUUUCCCUCUGCCCUCCUCUCCCCUCUUCCCACCUGCUCUGUCUCGGGCAUGCACCCAUCGUUUAUAACAACCGAAGUAUUAAUGCUGUCUAAGCUGAAAGCAGGGCAUGGGUAAAACUUUUGUAAUAGAAAAAUAUCCCUCACUUCAUAACCAUGCCUUACUC
rnacentral:lncRNA from 1 species